rnacentral:rRNA from 1 species
UACAGAGGGUGCAAGCGUUGUUCGGAAUUACUGGGCGUAAAGCGCGUGUAGGCGGCUUGAUAAGUCGAAUGUGAAAGCCCUUGGCUUAACCAAGGAAGUGCAUUCGAUACUGUUGAGCUUGAGUACCGGAGGGGAUGGCGGAAUUCCUGGUGUAGAGGUGAAAUUCGUAGAUAUCAGGAGGAACACCUGUGGCGAAGGCGGCCAUCUGGACGGUGACUGACGCUGAGACGCGAAAGCGUGGGUAGCAAACAGG